ACAAAAGAGAUUCCCCCGAGGGCUCAGGUAAGUCACACAACAAACCCAAGAACAAGUGGAACUGGCCGUCCCUGAGUUACUGGGUAACCUUAAAUCAAGGACUGAGACUCUCUGUGUCUCAAAGUUAUGCCACACCCUUAAUCUUUUCCCAGUGGGCAGUGUGUAGUGGGUGACCCUACAAGGUAAGGCAAAAAGGAGUGGCUCCAUUAAGGGCAGGGACAACGGCUUGAUGGAUGUUGGUGGCCUGGCUCUCCCAGAUUCUGCUACCUAGCUGCGUACAACCUGCCUCUGAACACCUUCCAGGGAAUGACCCCUCCCACACAGUGGGCACUCCUGGCAGAACCGUCACUCAGAAUGUCCUGUCCUCCCCGCCUGCUGAAUGAACUCAAGACCCAACAUAGGCCUGGAGAAUUGGAAUCCUGUGAAGAGGGACAAGAAGUGGGAAACAAAAUGAUUGGCACCAAUUGAUCCUAGCAGCUGUGAGACAAGAUCAUGAGCUUCUGCUCUCCAGUUCACUGCAAAGUCUGCCUCUGUCUUUCCCUGGCCUGGACCUGUGUCUGCCCCCUCAUCCUGUGAACCACCCUCAAGUCCUUCAGAUAAAAUCCUUGAUGCUGAAGUUAAGUAGAAUUAAUACUGAGGCUCACCUCAGAUGCAAUGGCCUCUGGUGUGUAUUGUGUGCUUUGGAGAAGAAGAGAGAAGGGACAGGCCUAGGGAAGGUCUGAGUCACCAUCCUUAUGGGAAGCCCUCAAGGGACAGAGUAGAGGGCAGGGGUCAUAUGUAAGAGUUGGGUUAAGGUUCCAGGAAACUUCCCCUUUAGGUGAGAACUUGUGUUGGGAUCCAUCAGGAGGGAAGGGGACUUAUGUACUACAGGGAGAGUUGAAGAGUCAUGACAAUCGCAGGUGUCUGUGGGUCUCUUUUGUUCUGCUAAUGCUGGUGGCUGGGGGAUGGCCUCUGCAGCUGCAAUGAGGCCACACAGGCAGUCAUCUCAUUUUCCACCGCUGAGAGAGGCACUGAGCACCUCGCCGCUCUGUGGCCGGAGCAGGCUGGACUCCAGUGCCCCUGCUUGUUUGGAUCCUCCCCCUCAGCCCUGGGAGAUGCUUGUGUCCAGGCAGCCCAAGGUGAGAGGCACGGUGUCAGGCCUCCCCAAGUCCUUUGCCUGUCACAGAUCCUCAGAUCUCAAGAAAUAAGGCACCUGGAAGUUUCCUCUCCCAUGCAGGAACCACUGGAGGCCAUUCUAAGGCAACAUGUGAACUGGUGGGUGGCACACUGAGUUCCAGGGUGCUGAGGGAUCCUGAAUGGGGCUGGGGGUUCUCUGUGGAGGUUCAGGAAGGGCUUGGUUUAUAGGCCAGAAGCAAUAACUAUAAGCAUGUGAGGCAAACAGCCCUGACCUGGAGACCAGCAGACAUCAGUGGGAGAAAGAGGAUGACAGCAGGUGAUGCUGUGGAGAUGACCAUGACCACUGGAGCUCCUGCCCUCGGUGCUCUCCUGACCUUCCAAACCCCCCCCCCCAAACCCCCACAAAGCCGGUCUUGCUAGGUCACCUGCCCCCUGCAAGCAGGUGGGAAUGUGUACGUAGCUCAAGGGUGGCAUCAUGAGGCCACAAUUGGGUAGUGCACUCCAAAUCCCCCAUUAUAUGUAAGGUCACUGGCAAGUGUAGUCUGCCUGUGCUUUCUGGAUGCCCAGGAUCUUUCCUAGCAGAGUGGGAGUUUCUGUGCAGAGCAGUUUCUGUCCUGAAGGGCUCAGGGCCCUAUUGCUGGUGGAGAAGAGAAGGGAGGGGGAGGGGCGAUGGGUUUGAUAGGGUGCUGCAGGGGAGUUGGCCCUUGGUGAGGAUGUCUGCAGCUCUCUGCUCUCCUGGAUCCGGUCACCUUUCAAAGUGGGUUUCUGGGGCCACAUUCUGGGCAUCUGACUACUCUCAGCCUCUCACGUGAGCAUCUUGCAGCUGUUUCCUCCAGUGGGCAUUCUUCCAUAAAGGUUCCUGUUUCCAGUGUUCAUGGAAAGACCCUGGAGCCAAAUCUCAGAUCCUCCCUAUAUUAUCUGUGUGACCUCUGUGUGCUUCAGUGUCCUCGUUUAUAAUAAUGCCUGCUAUACAGGGUUUGAGUCCUAGUCAGGACAAUGAAUGGUCCCUACCAUAGAAAAGAGAGCCCCCAACUCUGUGUCUAGCAGGUGUCAUCUCUGGGGAAGGAAUCUGCUUGGCCCCCUGUACAUGGCUGUGUGUGUGUGUGUGUGUGUGUGUGAGUGAGAGAGAGAGAGAGAGAGAGAGAGAGAGAGAGAGAGACAGACUUUCGGCAAUAAAUUGUUUGAUUGAAACCAGCCGCUGCUGCUUUCCCCUUAUCUCACCUACCUGAACAAGUAGGAGGUGUGCUAAGAGCCACACGGAUGUGCCUAGGACUGAGGAGAAGGUGGCCACUAGUCCUCAGGGAACAGCGGAGAGCCCACCUAAGCAGGAGAGACUUGAAGAAGACAGAGGGAACUGUUCACCACGCCUCUCCCCUGAGCCUGGGAAUAUGAGGUGGCGGCAGCGGCACCUGGGCAAGACAUCUGCUCUCCCAGGAGACCAAGAGCUGGGAUCUGAUCCAGGCUGGGCCAUGCUGGUGGAGUGGCCUUGCAUCAGUCCUUCUUUGGGCCUCAGUUUCUGCAUCUGUAAAAUGAUUCCCUUCCAUGCUCCCCUCCCACUCCAAACAGGCAGGUAAGGACGGGGGCUCCAGUCACUGCCCUUGAGUAUAGGAGUCAUGGAGGGAUGUGGGGGUGGCUUCCUGGUAUCUGGGGGAGGCAGGCUGAGAUGGAAUGCUGGGCUCUGGAAGGAAGGAGUCCCCUGCCAGCUGUGAAGAGCUAUGACUUGCCCAAGUGCAACUGGAACAGAGAUGCCAAAUGCUCCUGGAGUUACUGAGUGGUAAUCCUAAUGACAUGUGAUCCUGCAUACCAACAGCCCGGGCCAAUGCUCCUUGUGUUCCUCCCACCCGCCCGUCUCUGGGAUGCUCCUCCUUAUCCCUGUAGAGCCUCCAGGGCUUCUUUGUUCUUGCCAGAGGUGGCCUGGCCCAGUGUGGGUCUGGGGAAAGUGACAGUGGGAAAUGAAAAUCAAAGAACCCCUGGCAUGAAGCUGGCAGGGCAACUGUAGGGGAAUGGAUAACUGCAUUUGCUGCCUUCAUUUUUGCCUAAUCUGGCAUUUUUGCCUAAUCCCUUGGCAGUAGCUGACCUCAUAUCAGCAUCUCUGUUCUGGACUCCUCUCUCCACCUCUAUGGCUAUCCUUUCCUUCUCUCUCAUUCUCAUUUCCCAUUUCCUUCCUUUUCCUUCUUUCUGAGGGUCUAGACUUGUUUGGCCAGAGAAUUCUCAGACAUGGCUCCCUGCUUCCAGAGCCUCUGGAGGUUAGUGUGCACCCACCUGUUGCUGUGCCGCUUAGAUCGCUACAGUCACAAGGGACAGAACCUCCAGGCCAGUGCACCAGCUUGGGAUGGAGACUGGGCUUGUUUCAUCUACAGGGUAACCUGGACCAAGCCCCGUGACAUCUCUCUUGCUGUGAGAGCAGGAAAUCUGCUUCUGGACUCCUUUUUCUUUCUAUUCAUUCAUUCUUCGAUUGAACCCAGGGCUGCUCUACCACUGAACUACAUCCUCCAUCCUUUUUUCACUAAUUCUCCAAGCUGGCCUUGAACUUUAAAUCUCCUACUUCAGCCUCUGAGUUGCUGGAAUUACAGACAUGUACCACUGCACCUGGCCCUGGAUUUCUUUUAAGAAAAUGGGAUUUUUAAGGUCAAGUUUGCAGAGUUAUGUACACGAUUCGGGAAUCUCUUCCCAAAUCCCACACUAUUGUGCUCUGCCUUCUAGAGCAGUGGUUUUUGAAGUAUGAAGCACUGUGAGAGAUCUACAGCUCAGCAUUACCUGAAAUCUUACUAGAAACACAAAUCCUCAAGUCUCAGUGCCCAGGGAGGGCUGGAAAUGGCGUACAUUCCCUUGGGAGAACCAAUUGUGCACCCUCCCUCCCCAACUCCGCAUUUAACGACAGUCAUGUUGUGGGGCUUGAAGUCAGUCAUGGUGGUAGUAUUUACACCAUGGAAAUUGGCAAACGCUUUAGAUCAGUGCUUGUUUUUCUUUUCAGAGGGCCCAUUAAACUGCUUUCUGCACACUGCUGGGCCCCAUUCAGAACUACUGAAUCAGAAACUCUGAAGGCGGAGCCCAGCAGCCUAUGUUUUAAUAAGAUUUCCAGGCGAUUCUGAUGCAUAAUCAAGGGUGAGAACUAUGUUCCAGUAGGUCAGCUCUGGUGAGAUCAUGAGAAAAAAGGAACCUAGGGGUUGUCAAUGGAAAGGUGAACCUCCAGCUGCUACAGAGUAGACUGGAUCAGGAUACUUCACCUUGUUCUCAUUUUUCCAUGUAUCCAGGUGAAGGAAACGAUGUCACAAGAUCCAAAGGACAUAGGAUAAUUGGCCGAAAAAAUACCCCUUUGGAUGCACAUUUCUGCUACAAAGAAAAACACAUUAAAAGCAUUGCAUUGGAGAUACAGGGAAUGGAUAUUCUGUUUCUUUCCUGGAAGAAGUGAAAAUGGGAAGUCACAGUACCUUACCCAUUAUUACUCAUGCAAAUGUGUGCAAAAUGCCACUGGGAUUUUCUUUCCCCUUUCCAAUUUUGAAAUACUUAAACAAACAGCAAAAUACAAGGAGAAAUAUGACAAUAAUCUUGUAUUCACCAAAAAGAGAUGGCAAACGCUAACAUUUUGCCACACUUAUGUCAGCUUUUUUAAAGAAAUAAGACUUGAAGAUACAGUUUAAAAUUCCCCUUGUGUCCCCUUUCUUCUCUCCAAAUAUGCAACAACUAUCCUCAAAUUGCUUUCUCUGUCUCACCAUGGGCUGCCCUCUGUCGUGUUAUGAUGCAGCAAGAAGACCCUCACCGGGUGCCAAACAGAACUGUGAGCUAAACAAACCUCUCUUCUUUGUAAAUUACAUAGUCCUGCGUAUAUUAUUAUUAUUAAUUUAUUUCUUUUUACUGGGGAUUAAACCCAGGUGUGCUCUACCACUGAGCUACAU